AACGAACGCUGGCGGCAUGCCUAACACAUGCAAGUCGAACGAGACCUUCGGGUCUAGUGGCGCACGGGUGCGUAACGCGUGGGAACCUGCCCUUAGGUUCGGAAUAACUCCCCGAAAGGGGUGCUAAUACCGGAUAAUGUCUUCGGACCAAAGAUUUAUCGCCGUUGGAUGGGCCCGCGUUGGAUUAGCUAGUUGGUAGGGUAAAAGCCUACCAAGGCGACGAUCCAUAGCUGGUCUGAGAGGAUGAUCAGCCACACUGGGACUGAGACACGGCCCAGACUCGUACGCGAGGCAGCAGUGGGGAAUAUUGGACAAUGGGCGAAAGCCUGAUCCAGCAAUGCCGCGUGAGUGAUGAAGGCCUUAGGGUUGUAAAGCUCUUUUACCCGGGAUGAUAAUGACAGUACCGGGAGAAUAAGCUCCGGCUAACUCCGUG
rnacentral:rRNA from 1 species